CUAACCCCAACGAAGUCAAAUUGGAAUGCAUGCUUCUUGCUGUUAAGCGUACCAGUAAAGUUCGGUAUCGGAAGUAAAACUGUUAUCUAAUGCCUUAAAAAUGAAUGAAAGUGAUACGAUUCUUUGCUUCGUUAUUGAAACUUGCCUUAUCAGCUGUUACGCGUAAGAUGAUGCAACUAUAUGUAAAUUCAUUGCUAGCACAGACUUGGACGGAAUCAACUCUUCGGUCUCAAGACAGUUUGCAAGUUUUUCAUCCGGUUUUGGCGAAGUGACUGUGGUUGUAUUGCAAGACAUAAUCAAAAAUGGCAUUUUGCUCAUGGAGGGGUGAAGAAUAUUAUCGAGAUCAUUUUGAAUCAGGAACUUAUGUUUGCUCAGAAUGUGGGUAUGAACUUUUCACAAGUCUAUCAAAGUAUGAACAUGAAACACCCUGGCCAGCAUUUACCCAGCCAAUUCAUGAAAACUCUCUCUCAAAAACGCCAGAAAUUGGACGCCCAUUGGCCUUGAAGGUAUCAUGCGGCAAGUGUGGAAACAGUCUGGGCCAUGAAUUUCAAAAAGACAGAGAAGAUGGUGGAUCACGUUUCUGAAUAUUCAGUCACUCCUUGAAGUUUAUUCCACUUGAGAGUAACAAGACUUCAAAGGAGAUAACCAAACCUCAGGCAACAGAAGUUAAAACUACAACACAGUAACGUAUCAGUAAUUUGGAAGAAUUUAAUGUUCACAGUUCAUGUAGUUGAAGGAAUAUUGCCUACAGUUGGAAUUCACAAUUCAUGUAGUUGAAGGAUGAAAAUUUCAAGUUCUAUGCUAAAUAAUGAAGAAUGUUUUUUUUAAUAAGUCAGUUCAUGUUCUGUGAAUUUUUACAAUAGUUAUACAGUUUUGCAACUGUCAUAUAAAAAUGCUGCCUCAAAGAGAAGAAAUGUGAUAUGUAAAUUUGUUCUGUUGGCUGAAGUCAAGUUUACAAUGAUGCUGCCAUUUGAAACUCAUUAGAGAGAUUGGCUGGCUGAUGAACCCUUUAACUUGUCACUUCAGUCAUAAGUACAAAAUUUGUUACAGUUUAUGAAGAAUAAAGAAACAUAAAUGUUCAGA
rnacentral:lncRNA from 1 species